AAUGAACGCUGGCGGCGUGCUUAACACAUGCAAGUCGCACGAGAACGCUCCGGCUUGCCGGAGCAAGUAAAGUGGCGCACGGGUGAGUAAUGCGUAGGUAAUCUACCUUCGGAUUCGGGAUAACCCUUCGAAAGGGGGGCUAAUACCGGAUAAAGUCAAGAAUUUUUCGAAAUAUUUGAUGAAAGGUGGCCUCUAUAUAUAAGCUACUGUUCGGAGAUGAGCCUGCGUACCAUUAGCUAGUUGGCAGGGUAAUGGCCUACCAAGGCGACGAUGGUUAGCUGGUCUGAGAGGAUGAUCAGCCACACCGGAACUGGAACACGGUCCGGACUCCUACGGGAGGCAGCAGUGAGGAAUUUUGCGCAAUGGGGGAAACCCUGACGCAGCAACGCCGCGUGAGUGAUGAAGGCUUUCGGGUCGUAAAGCUCUGUCAAGUGGGAAGAACCCGCACUUAGGUAAUAUUUAGGUGCAAGACGGAGGAUGCAAGUGUUAUCCGGAAUCACUGGGCGUAAAGCGUCUGU
rnacentral:rRNA from 1 species